rnacentral:rRNA from 1 species
AGCGAACGCUGGCGGCAGGCCUAACACAUGCAAGUCGAACGAACUCUUCGGAGUUAGUGGCGGACGGGUGAGUAACACGUGGGAACGUGCCUUUUGGUUCGGAAUAACUCAGGGAAACUUGUGCUAAUACCGAAUGUGCCCUUCGGGGGAAAGAUUUAUCGCCAUUAGAGCGGCCCGCGUCUGAUUAGCUAGUUGGUGAGGUAACGGCUCACCAAGGCGACGAUCAGUAGCUGGUCUGAGAGGAUGACCAGCCACACUGGGACUGAGACACGGCCCAGACUCCUACGGGAGGCAGCAGUGGGGAAUCUUGCGCAAUGGGCGAAAGCCUGACGCAGCCAUGCCGCGUGAAUGAUGAAGGUCUUAGGAUUGUAAAAUUCUUUCACCGGGGACGAUAAUGACGGUACCCGGAGAAGAAGCCCCGGCUAACUUUGU